CCGCUGCCGGUGACGUCACCGCCCUUUUCUCGAUGACGUCAUUCCAGAAAAAAAACCCCAAAUUCCGGGGGUUUUCCCCCAAAAAAACCCCCGGGAUGGACUCGGGGGGAUCCAAAGCGCUGCCAGACCCGGCGGACGCGAUGACGUCGGACGACUUCGACAUCGUCAUCGAGGCCAUGCUGGAGGCGCCCUACAAGAAGGAGGAGGCCCAGCCCGGCCCCUCCAAGGCCCAACCGGAGCCGCCCCCGGCCCAGGUCAGC